rnacentral:rRNA from 1 species
AGAGUUUGAUCCUGGCUCAGGAUGAACGCUAGCGACAGGCUUAACACAUGCAAGUCGAGGGGCAGCACAGGUAGCAAUACCGGGUGGCGACCGGCGCACGGGUGAGUAACGCGUAUGCAACUUACCUAUCAGAGGGGGAUAACCCGGCGAAAGUCGGACUAAUACCGCAUGAAGCAGGGGCCCCGCAUGGGGAUAUUUGCUAAAGAUUCAUCGCUGAUAGAUAGGCAUGCGUUCCAUUAGGCAGUUGGCGGGGUAACGGCCCACCAAACCGACGAUGGAUAGGGGUUCUGAGAGGAAGGUCCCCCACAUUGGUACUGAGACACGGACCAAACUCCUACGGGAGGCAGCAGUGAGGAAUAUUGGUCAAUGGGCGUAAGCCUGAACCAGCCAAGUCGCGUGAGGGAUGAAGGUUCUAUGGAUCGUAAACCUCUUUUAUAAGGGAAUAAAGUGCGGGACGUGUCCUGUUUUGUAUGUACCUUAUGAAUAAGGAUCGGCUAACUCCGUGCCAGCAGCCGCGGUAAUACGGAGGAUCCGAGCGUUAUCCGGAUUUAUUGGGUUUAAAGGGUGCGUAGGCGGCCUUUUAAGUCAGCGGUGAAAGUCUGUGGCUCAACCAUAGAAUUGCCGUUGAAACUGGGGGGCUUGAGUAUGUUUGAGGCAGGCGGAAUGCGUGGUGUAGCGGUGAAAUGCUUAGAUAUCACGCAGAACCCCGAUUGCGAAGGCAGCCUGCCAAGCCAUGACUGACGCUGAUGCACGAAAGCGUGGGGAUCAAACAGGAUUAGAUACCCUGGUAGUCCACGCAGUAAACGAUGAUCACUAGCUGUUUGCGAUACAGUGUAAGCGGCACAGCGAAAGCGUUAAGUGAUCCACCUGGGGAGUACGCCGGCAACGGUGAAACUCAAAGGAAUUGACGGGGGCCCGCACAAGCGGAGGAACAUGUGGUUUAAUUCGAUGAUACGCGAGGAACCUUACCCGGGCUUAAAUUGCAGAUGAAUUACGGUGAAAGCCGUAAGCCGCAAGGCAUCUGUGAAGGUGCUGCAUGGUUGUCGUCAGCUCGUGCCGUGAGGUGUCGGCUUAAGUGCCAUAACGAGCGCAACCCUUGUUGUCAGUUACUAACAGGUUCCGCUGAGGACUCUGACAAGACUGCCAUCGUAAGAUGUGAGGAAGGCGGGGAUGACGUCAAAUCAGCACGGCCCUUACAUCCGGGGCGACACACGUGUUACAAUGGCGUGGACAAAGGGAUGCCACCUGGCGACAGGGAGCGAAUCCCCAAACCACGUCUCAGUUCGGAUCGGAGUCUGCAACCCGACUCCGUGAAGCUGGAUUCGCUAGUAAUCGCGCAUCAGCCAUGGCGCGGUGAAUACGUUCCCGGGCCUUGUACACACCGCCCGUCAAGCCAUGGGAGCCGGGGGUACCUGAAGUGCGUAACCGCGAGGAGCGCCCUAGGGUAAAACUGGUGACUGGGGCUAAGUCGUAACAAGGUAGCCGUACCGGAAGGUGCGGCUG